rnacentral:rRNA from 1 species
UACGAAGGGGGCUAGCGUUGUUCGGAAUUACUGGGCGUAAAGGGCGCGUAGGCGGUCCUGAUCGUCGGAUGUGAAAGGCCUGGGCUCAACCUGGGAAUGGCAUCCGAUACGGCGGGACUGGAGUGUGGGAGAGGUUGGUGGAAUUCCCAGUGUAGAGGUGAAAUUCGUAGAUAUUGGGAAGAACACCGGUGGCGAAGGCGGCCAACUGGACAACAACUGACGCUGAGGCGCGAAAGCGUGGGGAGCAAACAGG